AGUGUCUUGGAAAUCAUGAGUUCGACAAAGGAACGAAAGAACUUGGACAAUAUUUAUCGAAGUUGACAUUCCCUACAGUUACUUGCAACUUGGACUUAUCACUAGAACCUAACAUCACACCUUACGUUCAAAAAUACAUAAUUAUUGAAAAAGCUGGCAGAAAGAUCGGAAUAAUUGGAUAUUUUACACCA
rnacentral:lncRNA from 1 species